AACGAACGCUGGCGGCAUGCCUAACACAUGCAAGUCGAACGAGACCUUCGGGUCUAGUGGCGCACGGGUGCGUAACGCGUGGGAACCUGCCCUUAGGUUCGGAAUAACUCCCCGAAAGGGGUGCUAAUACCGGAUAAUGUCUUCGGACCAAAGAUUUAUCGCCUUUGGAUGGGCCCGCGUUGGAUUAGCUAGUUGGUAGGGUAAAAGCCUACCAAGGCGACGAUCCAUAGCUGGUCUGAGAGGAUGAUCAGCCACACUGGGACUGAGACACGGCCCAGACUCCUACGGGAGGGAGCAAGGGGGAAAAUUGGACAAUGGGGGAAAGCCUGAUCCAGCAAUGCCGGGUGAAGUAAGGAGGGCUUAGGGUUGUAAAGCUCUUUUACCCGGGAUGAUAAUGACAGUACCGGGAGAAUAAGCUCCGGCUAACUCCGUG
rnacentral:rRNA from 1 species